ensembl:lncRNA
CUCUCCGCUCCAUUUACUCUUGUCCCUUUAAGGGGACAGCAAUCUCUGUUGGGGCAGGAAAGCCUUGCACAACUGGGAUGAGCACACAAGAACAUGUGAGACUGUGAGCCAGCCCUCAGACAAAGAAGAUCAAGCUGGCAAUAGAUCAGGUGCCCCUUCUGGGCUCAUCAGCACCAGAUCUCAAAAUGCUUCCUCACUGUCAAACCUGACUCCCUUCAGUGACAAGAUGUGUUUCAGAAAGCAACCUUUGCAAUAGUCUGGCAGGAUUUAUGUGGUGCUGGUGCUAACAGGCUGAAUUUCCGCAGUGAUUCAGUGGAAUGGGUGCAGCAGCUUGGGUAAACUAAAAUGGACUUCUAUUUACAGGGUGGGUCAAUAAAUGAUCCUUGCAACCCACCAUAUGGCACUUGUUAACCUGCUGUUUUCCCAAACUUCAGUGUGGUUUGCCUCAGUGUGAAGUAGAGAUGAACUUACACAGUGUUAGCGGUGGAACAAAAUACUCUGUUGCCAUGGGUAUGUUUUUGUGCACUUGUGUCCAUAAUUGGAAGUCACAUAAAGAAAAGAGGAUAAGAUAAUCCUGUGCAGAGCAACACUCACUGCACUGUGAGAUGGUUACUCCUCAUGUGAGAGGAGCGUCAGUGCAUCAGUCUCACCUGGAGGUACAACUUAGUUUCUUAGUUUACCUUCAACGUUCUUCUUGGGAAAAGGGCCUGAACUACUGCAAUAUUCCCUUUUCAGGUUACAAUCUGCCUGGGGGAGGCUGCCUGCUCAGGCCCGGACAGGUCAAUGGGUAUUACAAAACCAGCCUGAGACCUGGGAGACCUCUCUUCCAUUCCCAUUGCUGGCACAGAUCCCCUGCGUGUGACCUUGGACAAGUCAUCCCUCAGUCUGAAAACAAGAAUAUCCUCUACUUACACAAAACUCACUGUCUGUGGGGAAGAGGUGGAGUGAAAUCCUAUUGUGCUUUUUCCAGCUAAUCUGAUCCUGAUCUUUUUCUGCAGAAGAAAGGCCUCAAGAAACAGAUGUGUGCUGUGCAGGGAGGCAGCUAACACCACUGCGGUGGAGCGGCAAAGCAGCUGAAUUCACAGGCAGCUGAAGCCUGCUGAGUUUCCUACACAGUUCCCAGACCUCAUUAACAUCUCUCUUGGACUUGGUGCUGACAUGUCUCUGCUGCUGCAGAAGGUACUCGUGCUGUGCUGACCACUUGAUGAGCACUGGGGAGCUGCAGUGAGGCAGGUAAUGCAGAACCUGCUUUUGGAAUCUCCAUGAGCAAGGCCUGGGGCUUGCUGAAGGCCUCUAGCCCUGGUCACCGCUCUGUUAUGCCCUGUGGAACAGACGAUGGACAGGGGAAGGUCUUAGGGUGAGAGGAAAUUUCCCCAUCCACAUGUCUAGGCAUCAAGAGUUCCUGUCGGCCAGCUAAUUAGCAACUGCCUUCCUAGAUUAUGAAUCCAUGUUAGCCUUUGCUCCUCUCUCACAUUACAGUAGCCUCCCACCUUGACAGUAAUGAAACAAAGCCAUCAAAGGAGAUCAAAGCAGAGUAGUUUUGAAACUGCUGUAUAUUUAAUGGGAAACUUCUCCCAUUUCUACCUUGUAGGGUGUGAAAGAACCUAUUUGUAAACUCCUUGGUGUUUCUGGUCAGUUAGAGUAAUAAAUGUGAUGCA